GACGAACGCUGGCGGCGUGCUUACCCAUGCAAGUCGAACGGAAAGGCCCAGCUUGCUGGGUGCUCGAGUGGCGAACGGGUGAGUAACACGUGGGUGAUCUGCCCCUAACUUCGGGAUAAGCUUGGGAAACUGGGUCUAAUACCGGAUAGGACAAUCGUUUAGUGUCGGUUGUGGAAAGUUUUUUCGGUUAGGGAUGAGCCCGCGGCCUAUCAGCUUGUUGGUGGGGUAAUGGCCUACCAAGGCGUCGACGGGUAGCCGGCCUGAGAGGGUGGACGGCCACAUUGGGACUGAGAUACGGCCCAGACUCCUACGGGAGGCAGCAGUGGGGAAUAUUGCACAAUGGGCGCAAGCCUGAUGCAGCGACGCCGCGUGGGGGAUGACGGCCUUCGGGUUGUAAACCUCUUUCGACAGGGACGAAGCUUUGGUGACGGUACCUGUAUAAGAAGCACCGGCUAACUACGUG
rnacentral:rRNA from 1 species